GUCUUAGUAAUAAAAACUAAACUGCUUUGAGAAGAUAAAGGAUCUGAUUCAGCUCGAGCAGAUGAGGGCGAGUGGCAGUCAUGUCGAAUGGUGCGUGAUGGAGCCAGACUGGAGGAAUCAAUCAGCCUGUCACAACCUGUCUGCCUUACCCUCACCUCAGCAUUGUUGGGCCAUGAACAGAAAAGGGGUUAUAGGAUAUGGAAAUUCACCCAGCCACGGAGCCAGCAGAGUACUGUUCAGGACGUCUGGACCACAGCGUAUGCUGCCG